UACGAAGGGGGCUAGCGUUGUUCGGAUUUACUGGGCGUAAAGCGCACGUAGGCGGAUCUUUAAGUCAGGGGUGAAAUCCCGAGGCUCAACCUCGGAACUGCCUUUGAUACUGGAGAUCUUGAGUCCGGAAGAGGUGAGUGGAACUGCGAGUGUAGAGGUGAAAUUCGUAGAUAUUCGCAAGAACACCAGUGGCGAAGGCGGCUCACUGGUCCGGUACUGACGCUGAGGCGCGAAAGCUAAGGGUAGCAAACGGGG
rnacentral:rRNA from 1 species